rnacentral:rRNA from 1 species
GACGAACGCUGGCGGCGUGCUUAACACAUGCAAGUCGAACGGUAAGGCCCUUCGGGGUACACGAGUGGCGAACGGGUGAGUAACACGUGGGUGAUCUGCCCUGCACUUCGGGAUAAGCCUGGGAAACUGGGUCUAAUACCGGAUAGGACUCCUGCCUGCAUGGGUGGGGGUGGAAAGCUUUUGCGGUGUGGGAUGGGGCCGCGGCCUAUCAGCUUGUUGGUGGGGGGAUGGCCUACCAAGGCGGCGAGGGGUAGCCGGCCUGAGAGGGUGGCCUGCCAAACUGGGACGGAGGUACGGCCCAGACUCCUACGGGAGGCAGCAGUGGGGAAUAUUGCACAAUGGGCGCAAGCCUGAUGCAGCGACGCCGCGUGAGGGAUGACGGCCUUCGGGUUGUAAACCUCUUUCAGCACAGACGAAGCGCAAGUGACGGUAUGUGCAGAAGAAGGACCGGCCAACUACGUGCCAGCCGCCGCGGUAA